UACGGAGGGAGCUAGCGUUGUUCGGAAUUACUGGGCGUAAAGCGCACGUAGGCGGCUUUGUAAGUUAGAGGUGAAAGCCCGGGGCUCAACUCCGGAACUGCCUUUGAUACUGGCAAUCUUGAGACUGGAAGAGGUUAGUGGAAUUCCCAGUGUAGAGGUGAAAUUCGUAGAUAUUGGGAAGAACACCAGUGGCGAAGGCGGCUAACUGGUCCAGUACUGACGUGGAGGUGCGAAAGCGUGGGGAGCAAACAGG
rnacentral:rRNA from 1 species